rnacentral:rRNA from 1 species
AAUACUUAGGAAUCUGCCUAUUAGUGGGGGACAACAUUUCGAAAGGAAUGCUAAUACCGCAUACGCCCUACGGGGGAAAGCAGGGGCUCUUCGGACCUUGCGCUAAUAGAUGAGCCUAAGUCAGAUUAGCUAGUUGGUGGGGUAAAGGCCUACCAAGGCGACGAUCUGUAACGGGUCUGAGAGGAUGAUCCGUCACACUGGGACUGAGACACGGCCCAGACUCCUACGGGAGGCAGCAGUGGGGAAUAUUGGACAAUGGGGGCAACCCUGAUCCAGCCAUGCCGCGUGUGUGAAGAAGGCCUUUUGGUUGUAAAGCACUUUAAGCGAGGAGGAGGCUCCUGUAGAUAAUACCUACAGUGAGUGGACGUUACUCGCAGAAUAAGCACCGGCUAACUCUGUGCCAGCAGCCGCGGUAAUACAGAGGGUGCGAGCGUUAAUCGGAUUUACUGGGCGUAAAGCGUGCGUAGGUGGCCAAUUAAGUCAAAUGUGAAAUCCCUGAGCUUAACUUAGGAAUUGCAUUCGAUACUGGUUGGCUAGAGUAUGGGAGAGGAUGGGUAGAAUUCCAGGUGUAGCGGUGAAAUGCGUAGAGAUCUGGAGG